rnacentral:rRNA from 11 species
GAGUUCGGCCUAAAGACUUCCAAGGCGCCAGAUCCUUUCUGAUAUCCGAAGCCAUGCAGGGACCUCCUUGCUUAGGACUUAGAUGAGAGGUGCUUUCGGAUACUAGAGGUUGUAGGCU